AUGUGUGUGAAAUUCAAACAGUUAUUCUGUUAUACUGGCAAUUAUGAGUUAGGGAUAUUGGAUUCAUAUGACUUAUUAGACUUCUUUUUAGAAAAAGGAAAAAAGGCGAAACAUCUCUGUUCCUCCACUCCCAACUGUCCCUUGGAAGAAGAGGGAAAGCAAAGGAGAUCUAGUUUUCAGCGACCAAGAUCCACAAAGGGCUCAUCACCUGGAGGAGCAGGUCAAUAGCUUCCCAUCCAGAAUUGCAAAAACCACCAAGUACAUGUCAAAAGCAGACCGCACUGACAUGCUGACCCUGCAGUCUAUGGGGUGGAACAACAGAAAACUGGCAAACAUGGGCUAUAUUUUGGCAAAAAGAUACAGAAAGGUAAGAUCCACUAAAUAUAAUUGAUAUAUUUGGUGUUGUAUGUAAUUAGCUGCUU
rnacentral:lncRNA from 1 species